UGGGGAAUAUUGGACAAUGGGGGCAACCCUGAUCCAGCAAUGCCGCGUGUGUGAAGAAGGUCUUCGGAUUGUAAAGCACUUUCGACGGGGACGAUGAUGACGGUACCCGUAGAAGAAGCCCCGGCUAACUUCGUGCCAGCAGCCGCGGUAAUACGAAGGGGGCUAGCGUUGCUCGGAAUGACUGGGCGUAAAGGGCGCGUAGGCGGUUGUGACAGUCAGAUGUGAAAUUCCCGGGCUUAACCUGGGGGCUGCAUUUGAUACGUGAUGACUAGAGUGUGAGAGAGGGUUGUGGAAUUCCCAGUGUAGAGGUGAAAUUCGUAGAUAUUGGGAAGAACACCGGUGGCGAAGGCGGCAACCUGGCUCAUUACUGACGCUGAGGCGCGAAAGCGUGGGGAGCAAACA
rnacentral:rRNA from 1 species